rnacentral:misc_RNA from 1 species
UUGAAUGAAUUUGGUUAGGUUGCUGCUGGCUUUUUGAAGCAUGUGCACGCCUACUCCAUUUCUAACCCUCCUGUGCACUUUGUAUGGGCCUGAAUGCUUUUUUUCGAGUACAUUUCUUGAACUCGGUCUGAGAAACUGUUGUGUCUGACAAAGGCCAGCUUUUCUUGUCUUUCAGGUCUGUAUCUUUUUAAACACUCCAUAUGAAUGUAUAAGAAUGGUGCUUUGAGGCCUUGUGCCUUAUA